GGGGUGCAGCUCAGCGGUAGAGCGCUUGCCUAGCAAGCACAAGGCCUGGGUUCCAGCCCGGCACCCCG
rnacentral:tRNA from 1 species